rnacentral:tRNA from 2 species
GAUAAAGUGGCUGAAUUUUAGGCAAUAAAUUGUAAAUUUAUAUAUGGUUAUAACCCUUUAUCA